ensembl:lncRNA
UGUUGACCCAUAUCACAAAAGGCAUAAGGAGUAACAACAACAACAAUAUAGAUAUCUCAAAUACAAUCUGAUUAGAAGAUUAAAUGUAAAAAAUGCAUGAAGACUGUGUUAAACUGACUUGAUCCACAGGUUUUCUUUAACAUGUUACAUGGUAUUUGUGUUGUUGUGCUAUCUUGUUCUAAGCUAUGUGAUGCUACGCUAAUUUGACAGGUAUACUGAGCACAUGGAAUACAGAAAAUGAAACCCCUGAUCUCAUUGGUAUGCCAGGUACAAGGGGGUGCCUUUGUUGCCUGUAUUCAGAUUUUUUUCAAUGACUUGGAUGCCAGCCUGCGCAUAAGGACUCAUUUCAUGUUGAAAUAUUACAGUGAAGGUCUGGAUGGGACGGUCUGAACCCUUCUUGUACCAGGCAUUUAUCCGGGGGCCUCGUGUUCCUUCAUUGAGAUUAACACCAACAGCGGUAUAACCCUGUAUCUGAAGGCUUUCCUCUUCCUCGCGGUUAGUGGAGACAUCCAGGAGAUUGAUGGUUUGGUAAUAUGUUUGGGACUGACGAUACCAAAGAAAGACAAAGGCUUCUCCUGCAGCUCGAUUCACAUCUUCAUCCACACGGGUGUAGCCCUGGGAAAAAUACUCGUGAUCAAAUGCAAAAGUGGUAGUUGCCUUGAUGUCAGCGAUGUACAUCUUCUUCUCUUUCUUCACCCAAACACGGAUCCACUUGCCUUUAGCUUUGCGAUUCAGGUCACACGCCAGUCGUUCCCAGCCUUUCUGGUAAAAUAGGGCUUCAUCUUCUGCAUCUUUGGUAACCUUAAGAUCCACUAUAGGGUUGUCAUACUCAGUUGUACCUUUGUAGUACCAGAGAUGGAUGUAAUCUCCUCCAGCCCCAGCGUUGAGGUCUUUAUCCACCUGAUGGUAACCUGCGUUUCUCAAACCAAUUUGCAUGUCAUCUGUGAAUGUAACCUGCAAUCUGGUGAUGGGAUUGCUGCUGCCCUUCUUGUACCAGAGGAAAAUAUAGUUUCCUCCUGCACCUUCGUUCAGAUCAACAUAGAUUUUGUUGAAACCUUUUUUCCGUAGGCCUUGCUCCUGAUCAUCAUUAAUGGAAACAGCAAUUUCCGUGAUGUACGACAUCCUGAGUUUGGUGGUCCAACGAGGACUGUGUAGGAACCUGAACAAAACAGAAAGCAUGGUGUCAAAAAUGUUUAAACAAAAUAGAAUCAAAUUAAACUGAAGUAAAUCCAUAACAGUCCGACACACAGACCACGGGCACAUAUAGGGGCUUGGGUUGUGCUCAGACGCCAGAGCAAUAUUAGUAUCGCGACCUGAUUGGUGUUUGUGGUGUUCACACUGAGUACUUCUUAGCAGGGAAUGCCUUGUAGACAGUGUUUAGCUUAAUGGAAAAAGCAUGCAGUAGCACCACACACACGCAGUGUCAUGGUCCUCUGUACUUUUAAUCUGACGGAUUUUG